AUUGAACGCUAGCGGGAUGCUUUACACAUGCAAGUCGAACGAGUGGCGGACGGGUGAGUAAUGUAUCGGAACCUGCCCGAUGGCUGGGGAUAACUACUGGAAAGAGUGGCUAAUACCGCAUAAUAUUGGAGCUGCCCAUAUGGGAUUAGCUAGUUGGUGGGGUAAAGGCUCACCAAGGCAACGAUCCCUAGCUGGUCUGCGAGGAUGACCAGCCACACUGGGACUGAGACACGGCCCAGACUCCUACGGGAGGCAGCAGUGGGGAAGUUUGGACAAUGGGGGAAAGCCUGAUGCAGCCAUCCCGCGUGUAUGAUGAAGGCCUUCGGGUUGUAAAGUACUUUCGGCAGAGAGGCGGUAUCUGCAGAAGAAGCACCGGCUAACUACGUGCCAGCAGCCGCGGUAAUAC
rnacentral:rRNA from 1 species